GAUGAACGCUGGCGGCGUGCCUAAUACAUGCAAGUCGAGCGAACAGACGAGGAGCUUGCUCCUCUGACGUUAGCGGCGGACGGGUGAGUAACACGUGGAUAACCUACCUAUAAGACUGGGAUAACUUCGGGAAACCGGAGCUAAUACCGGAUAAUAUAUUGAACCGCAUGGUUCAAUAGUGAAAGACGGUUUUGCUGUCACUUAUAGAUGGAUCCGCGCCGCAUUAGCUAGUUGGUAAGGUAACGGCUUACCAAGGCAACGAUGCGUAGCCGACCUGAGAGGGUGAUCGGCCACACUGGAACUGAGACACGGUCCAGACUCCUACGGGAGGCAGCAGUAGGGAAUCUUCCGCAAGGGGCGAAAGCCUGACGGAGCAACGCCGCGUGAGUGAUGAAGGUCUUCGGAUCGUAAAACUCUGUUAUUAGGGAAGAACAAAUGUGUAAGUAACUAUGCACGUCGUGACGGUACCUAAUCAGAAAGCCACGGCUAACUACG
rnacentral:rRNA from 1 species